rnacentral:rRNA from 1 species
UCGGAUCAGGUAGGGAUACCCGCUGAACUUAAGCAUAUCAAUAAGCGGAGGAAAAGAAACCANCAGGGAUUACCUCAGUAACGGCGAGUGAAGCGGUAACAGCUCAAAUUUGAAAUCUGCCGCAAGGCCGAGUUGUAAUUUGUAGAAGAUGCUUUGGGUAUGGCCCCGGUCUAAGUUCGUUGGAACACGACGUCAUAGAGGGUGAGAAUCCCGUAUGUGACUAGGUGCUUUUGCCUAUGUAAAGCUCUUUCGACGAGUCGAGUUGUUUGGGAAUGCAGCUCAAAAUGGGUGGUAUAUUUCAUCUAAAGCUAAAUAUUGGCCAGAGACCGAUAGCGCACAAGUAGAGUGAUCGAAAGAUGAAAAGCACUUUAGAAAGAGAGUUAAACAGUACGUGAAAUUGUUAAAAGGGAAGCGCUUGCAACCAGACUUGCACGCUGUCGAUCAUCCAGGCUUCUGUUUGGUGCACUCGACGGUGUUCAGGCCAGCAUCGGUUUUGGUGGUGGGAUAAAGGCCUUGGGAAUGUAGCUUCUUUCGGGGAGUGUUAUAGCCCUCGGUGCAAUGCCGCCUACCGGGACCGAGGACCGCGCUUCGGCUAGGAUGCUGGCGUAAUGGUUGUAAGCGACC